rnacentral:lncRNA from 1 species
AACAAGAGCUCUGGCAACAAUUGUCUGCGGUUAAAUUCACACAAUUAUUUCACCUCCUUCCAUUGAAAUUCUGCCCUUCCAUCGUCGCGUUGAAACAUUCGAGAUAUUUUAAUGGCCAGUCAACUUUGCAAUAUCCCGAAAGCGCACACGUGGCGGAACAGUAAAGGGUGAUUGUUCACCUUUGGUCUCCGCAUGCCUGUACUCGUCACAUCAGAUUCCCAGUUUGUGGUUUGGUUGAUAGUUUACCCCCACCCGCGGAAGAGAGCGUGAGGCCUCCUUUCAAUCAUGCACGGUUAAGAAUUACACGUCAGACUGGUCCGCACCGGUUGGUUUUCAAUGCUCCGUGUCUAUCGAGAUUCUAGAAGAAUGUAGGCUCCGGUUUUAUUUGACAGUACAACAAACGCGCGUUAAGUACGCGUUUUGGUUUUUUUUUUUAGCAGGACAUUAUUAAUUUGGCAAUUUAUUUAUUAUAACGCAAGCACGGCUUAUGUACAGUUUACUCUGUACACUGUAGACCAUUAAUUUGGCCCUUUCUUUUAGAUAGUAAACCGAAAACAGACUGAAAU